GACGAACGCUGGCGGCGUGCCUAAUACAUGCAAGUCGAACGCAGUGGGGACGGGUGAGUACCACGUGGGUAACCUCCCAUCAGAGGGGAUAACACUUGGACACAGGUGCUAAACCGAUACUGAUGGAUGGACCCGCGGUGCGUUAGCUAGUUGGUGAGGUAACGGCUCACCAAGGCCACGAUGCAUAGCCGACCUGAGAGGGGGAUAGCCCACACGGGGACGUAGACACGGCACAGACGCCUACGGGAGGCAGCAGUAGGGAAUCUUCGGCAAUUGACGAAAGUCGGACCGAGCAACGCCGCGUGAUUGAAGAAGGUUUGCGGAUCGUAAAACUCUGUUGUUAGAGAAGCGGUAUCUAACCAGAAAGCCACGGCUAACUACGUGCCAGCCGCCGCGGUAAUUC
rnacentral:rRNA from 1 species